rnacentral:rRNA from 1 species
UACGUAGGGUCCGAGCGUUGUCCGGAAUUAUUGGGCGUAAAGGGCUCGUAGGCGGUUCGUCACGUCGGGAGUGAAAACUCGGAGCUUAACUCCGAGCCUGCUUCCGAUACGGGCUGACUAGAGGUAUGCAGGGGAGAACGAAUUCCUGGUGUAGCGGUGAAAUGCGCAGAUAUCAGGAGGAACACCGGUGGCGAAGGCGGUUCUCUGGGCAUUACCUGACGCUGAGGAGCGAAAGUGUGGGGAGCGAACAGG